ACGAACGCUGGCGGCGUGCUUAACACAUGCAAGUCGAACGGAAAGGCCCCUUUGGGGGUACUCGAGUGGCGAACGGGUGAGUAACACGUGAGUAACCUGCCCUUGACUUCGGGAUAACUUCAGGAAACUGGGGCUAAUACCGGAUAGGAAUCCUUGCUGCAUGGUGGGGGUUGGAAAGCUUCGGCGGUUUUGGAUGGACUCGCGGCUUAUCAGCUUGUUGGUGGGGUAGUGGCUUACCAAGGCUUUGACGGGUAGCCGGCCUGAGAGGGCGACCGGCCACAUUGGGACUGAGAUACGGCCCAGACUCCUACGGGAGGCAGCAGUGGGGAAUAUUGCACAAUGGGCGGAAGCCUGAUGCAGCAACGCCGCGUGCGGGAUGACGGCCUUCGGGUUGUAAACCGCUUUCAGCAGGGGCGAAGCUUGUGAUGACGGUACCUGCAGAAGAAGCACCGGCUAACUACGUG
rnacentral:rRNA from 1 species